GGAGCUUCUUCCACAAGAAAUGGUCAUCCUUUCAAUAAAAAUAAAAGAAAAUGGUAUGCAUCAGAGUGAGAGUUCAAUCACAUUUUCGUCAUAUAGAUCAGUGAAUUUUGUGUACUUUGUCUUCAAUAGAUCUUACUACUCAAAGAUCACUGAGGAGUUGAAUGUUAAACUAAAGGAACAGCAGCUAGGCUCGAAUGAAAUAUUCCAAAGUUCUUUUGAACUAUCAUAUCAUCCCUUGGCAUGCCUUGUGCUUCUAACUUGCAAGUAUGUACAACAAAGAUUUUCCAUGUUUUUUCCUCCUUUGUCUUG
rnacentral:lncRNA from 1 species